CUCUUAUCAAGAGAGGCGGAGGGACUGGCCCGAUGAAGCCCGGCAACCUACCGUGCGUUUUACGCGCGGUGUGGUGCCAAUUCCUGCAGAGUGCAAUCUCUGGCAGAUGAGAG
rnacentral:ncRNA from 1 species